rnacentral:rRNA from 1 species
GCACCGGCUAACUCCGUGCCAGCAGCCGCGGUAAUACGGAGGGUGCGAGCGUUAAUCGGAAGUUACUGGGCGUAAAGACGCAUGCAGGCGGCCUGUUAAGUCAGAUGUGAAAGACCCGGGGCGUUAACCUCCGGAAUUGCAUUUGAAACUAGGCAGGCUAGAGUCUUGUAGAGGGGGGUAGGGAAUUUCAGGUGUAGCGGUGAAAUAGCGUAGAGAUCUGAAGGAAUACCAGUGGCGAAGGCGGCCCCCUCGGACAAAGACUGACGCUCAGAUGCGAAAGCGUGGGGAGCAAACAGGAUUAGAUACCCUGGUAG